rnacentral:rRNA from 1 species
AGCCUGAACGCUGGCGGCGUGGCUAAGACAUGCAAGUCGUACGGAUGUAGCAAUACAUCAGUGGCGAACGGGUGAGUAAUGAAUCGCUAAUGUACCCCGGACUCUGGGAUAGCUGCCCGAAAGGGCAGGUAAUACCAGAUGAUAUAUCCUUAUCGCAUGAUAGGGAUCUCAAAGGUCCGCCGGUCUGGGAGCAGGCGAUUUUGUAUCAGCUAGUUGGUGAGGUAACGGCUCACCAAGGCGAUGACGCAUAGCCGGACUGAGAGGUUGGCCGGCCACAUUGGGACUGAGACACUGCCCAGACUCCUACGGGGGGCUGCAGUAACGAAUCUUCCGCAAUGCACGAAAGUGUGACGGAGCGACGCCGCGUGUGGGACGAAGCCCUUCGGGGUGUAAACCACUGUCAGGGGAUAGAAAGUUCUGAUCAACCCCAGAGGAAGGCACGGCUAACUCUGUGCCAGCAGCCGC